rnacentral:rRNA from 1 species
GUCCACACCCUAAACGAUGUGUGUUGGAUGAUCGCCCGCUGGGGUGAUUGUCGAAGCAAACGCGAUAAACACACCGCCUGGGAAGUACGGCCGCAAGGUUGAAACUAAAAGGAAUUGACGGGGACCCGCACAAGCGGUGGAGUAUGUGGUUUAAUUCGAAGCGACGCGAAGAACCUUACCAGGUCUUGACAUGCAUGGAACCCUCCGGAAAUGGAGGGGUGCCCUUCGGGGAGCCAUGACACAGGUGCUGCAUGGCUGUCGU